AAUAAAUCACUUGAUAGGGGGAGGGAUGGCUCAGUGGUUUGAGCAUUGGCCUGCUAAACCCAGGGUUGUGAGCCCAAUUCUUGAGGCGGCCACUUAGGGCUCUAGGGCAAAAAUCAGUAUUUGGUCCUGCUAGUGAAAGCAGGGGGAUGGACUCAAUGACCUUUCAAG